rnacentral:misc_RNA from 1 species
UUAAGUUCAGCGGGUCUUCCUGCCUGAUUUGAGACCAUGGUUCAAGUUACCCCCGAGAGGAUAACUUUAAUAGUUGAGUGCCGGACAAGCACCAUCACCCGUACUAAGUAUUAGAGAAACCGAAGUUCCAUACACAUACUUUUCCGUUACUUGACAGUAUCCAGCAGCAAUAGUUUUAAAGGCACGCAGGGUAAGUGCGA